rnacentral:rRNA from 1 species
UACGUAGGGGGCAAGCGUUGUCCGGAUUUAUUGGGCGUAAAGAGCGUGUAGGCGGCCAUACAGGUCCGUUGUGAAAACUCGAGGCUUAACCUCGAGACGUCGAUGGAAACCGUAUGGCUAGAGUCCGGAAGAGGAGACUGGAAUUCAUGGUGUAGCAGUGAAAUGCGCAGAUAUCAGGAAGAACACCUAUGGCGAAGGCAGCUCUCUGGGACGGUACUGACGCUGAGACGCGAAAGCGUGGGGAGCGAACAGG